ensembl:lncRNA
UCUUAAUGAAUCAGUUUUCGCCGCUCGAUGCCAUGGCGUUCAACUACUGCCCUCAAAUUGUUUGAUGUCAAUGGACACAAAAUGUUUGAAAGUUGUGAAUUAAAUCAAG